AGACGGAAAAGUGUUGUUGUUAUGCGGCUGAUGAAGUGAUUGGCUUUAGGGAGAUGGAAAUGUCAAGUAGAGGCAUGACAUCUGAUUGAUUCAGUUUUGUAUGUGAAUGUCGUUAGGAAUCUUAGGUUUGGUUAUUUUUAUAUAUUCUUGCAUUGCUCUGAGCUCGACUUCACAAUAUAAACUUUAUAUGUUGUUCAAAAGUUUUUACUUAGAAGAGAAGUUGUUCUUA
rnacentral:lncRNA from 1 species